rnacentral:lncRNA from 1 species
GUUUCUACCACUGUUCAGGCUAAAAAGAAAAGCCAGUGGGGUUGUCCUCCUAAGCUUUCAGCUUUCUCUUUGUUUUUCUCCAUCCAUGAUCUUCUCUCUCUUCUUCCUGGUUCUAUAGGAGUCCAGUGAUCUGCCCUUCAUCAAGUGCUGCUCCCAGGAAGAAAGCAGUGAUUAUACUGAAGUCUGAAUGACAGAUGAGGGUCGAUCUAAGGCUUGCUGGACUUUAACUGAUGAAAUACACUGUUUGAUACAGUUGGUGCUUCUCCAUGUCCAGAUUCAGCUAAGAAGGCCAAACACAGAACACAUUGAUGCUACCUGUGGAGGACCAUCUGGAAAGAGGAGCAAUUGUCUCCGUUUUGGCUGAGCCUGACCCUAUUUCCAAGUACUGAUGUGUGCAGAGCUGGCCGGGACUUUUUCUUACCCCUUCAACUGGCUUUAAGCAAUGCAUACUGGUCUAGCCCAGGUGCUGGUGGUAAUCUUUGAAGAUGGCAGGUGUGUUUCCCCAACUCCCUAUUGCUCCCUCAAAUGAGACGGGCUUGUGAGCCAAUGCUCCAGGAUGUCAACUGGGAUCGAGCCUUGGGAUAGAAGCUAUGACUUCCUGGGGCUUCAAAUGUUACACAUUAGCUCUGAAGCACUGACCCCAAAACAUUAGAUGCUGUCUCAGUUGUGUUAGGCAGAUUACUCUUUCUGCAUAUCCUUCUCUCUGCAUUUUCAGGAGAGAUUUCAU